GCCUGGCUCAAGCUGACUUUCUGUGUUUUGAGCCCUGCCUGGAGCGGACCAUAGGAACAAGAAGAGGAGUUCUUGGUCUCCUGGUUGCUGUCUGGGUGUAUUUACUACUUACAGACUUGCAGGAUGGCAGACUUACAUCUAUCCACAAUAUUUGCUCUGCCCGUUCAAGACCCUUCCUGUGCCCAUGAGAGAAUCACAGAGGUAGAAAACUUCCACUCUGGGUUACAGGUGAGUUAAAACUUUUUUCUUUCUCCUAAAAUACUUCCCGUUCCCUAAGGUGAAUGCAUCUCCUUCCAGUACUCUGG
rnacentral:lncRNA from 1 species